rnacentral:rRNA from 1 species
UAAUAAAUUUUCUAGGGCAGAAUAUUAUAUAAUUUUAUUUUACUAUUGAUAAUAUAAAGAAUUACUCCGGAGUUAACAGAAAAUCAUACCUAAUCUAGUUCUUAUAGUAAGGUAAGUUUUACAUCGAUGUUGUAUUUAGGUAAACUAAAAGAGGAGAAGAUUUAGGAUUUAAGACUGUUCUUCUAUUAAAUAACCUAACGUGAUAUUAGUUUAAUUCAUUGUGAGAUAGAAUUGUUUAUCUUGAUAAAUAUUUGCUUUUAAGGCAUUUAGUACGAAAGGAAAAUUGUAAAAGUUUUAAACUUUUUUAAAAAAGACAAGGUCUUU